rnacentral:rRNA from 1 species
UGCCAGACUCCUACGGGAGGCAGCAGUGGGGAAUAUUGCACAAUGGGGGAAACCCUGAUGCAGCGACGCCGCGUGAGCGAAGAAGUACCUCGGUAUGUAAAGCUCUCUCAGCAGGGAAGAAGAUGACGGUACCUGACCAAGAAGCUCCGGCUAAAUACGUGCCAGCAGCCGCGGUAAUACGUAUGGAGCAAGCGUUAUCCGGAUUUACUGGGUGUAAAGGGAGCGCAGGCGGCCUUGCAAGUCUGAUGUGAAAGGCCGGGGCCCAACCCCGGGACUGCCCUUGGAACUGCUUGGCUGGAGUGCGGGAGGGGCAGGCGGAAUUCCUGGUGUAGCGGUGAAAUGCGUAGAUAUCAGGAGGAACACCGGCGGCGAAGGCGGCCUGCUGGACCGCGACUGACGUUGAGGCUCGAAAGCGUGGGGAGCGAACAGGAUUAGAUACCCCUGUAC